UACGGGGGGGGCAAGCGUUGUUCGGAAUUACUGGGCGUAAAGGGCUCGUAGGUGGCCAACUAAGUCAGACGUGAAAUCCCUCAGCUUAACUGGGGAACUGCGUCUGAUACUGGAUGGCUUGAGUUUGGGAGAGGGAUGCGGAAUUCCAGGUGUAGCGGUGAAAUGCGUAGAUAUCUGGAGGAACACCGGUGGCGAAGGCGGCAUCCUGGGCCGGUAUUGACGCUGAGGAGCGAAAGCCAGGGGAGCAAAGCGGG
rnacentral:rRNA from 1 species